AAGUCGUAACAAGGUUUCCGUAGGUGAACCUGCGGAAGGAUCAUUACACGUAUCCAACGUUAAAACCCCUGUGAACCUACAGCCCUAUUCUAAACACGUUUGCUAGAGGUCCACACGACCGGCAACCGGGAUCCAGGCCGCAAGGUCCCUAACCACCCCUCGCAAGAAUUUAGCGUGCACCUAACGGUUGUACGCACCCCCAAACUGAACAACUGUUAACAAUGGAUAUCUUGGUUCUC
rnacentral:misc_RNA from 1 species